UACGGAGGGUGCAAGCGUUAUCCGGAUUACUUGGGUUUAAAGGGUGUGUAGGCGGGCUGUUAAGUCAGGGGUGAAAUCUCCGGGCUCAACCCGGAAACUGCCAUUGAUACUAAUGGUCUUGAAUUUUGUUGAGGUAGGCGGAAUAUGUCAUGUAGCGGUGAAAUGCUUAGAUAUGACAUAGAACACCGAUUGCGAAGGCAGCUUACUAAGCUGUAACUGACGCUGAGGCACGAAAGUGUGAGGAUCAAACAGG
rnacentral:rRNA from 1 species